rnacentral:rRNA from 1 species
GGGGAAUUAGGGUUCGAUUCCGGAGAGGGAGCCUGAGAAACGGCUACCACAUCUAAGGAAGGCAGCAGGCGCGCAAAUUACCCAAUCCUAAUACAGGGAGGUAGUGACAAGAAAUAACAAUACAGGACUUUUUGGUUUUGUAAUUGGAAUGAGUUAAGUAUAAACCCCUUUACAAGUAUCAAUUGGAGGGCAAGUCUGGUGCCAGCAGCCGCGGUAAUUCCAGCUCCAAUAGCGUAUAUUAAAGUUGUUGCAGUUAAAAAGCUCGUAGUUGGAUUUCUGUUAAUAAUUUAUAUAAAAUAUUUUGAUGAAUAUUUAUAUAAUAUUAACAUAAUUCAUAUUACUAUAUAUUUUAGUAUAUGAAAUUUUACUUUGAGAAAAUUAGAGUGCUUAAAGCAGGCAUAUGCCUUGAAUACUCCAGCAUGGAAUAAUAUUAAAGAUUUUUAUCUUUCUUAUUGGUUCUAAGAUAAGAAUAAUGAUAAUA